CAUGUCAAGCUCACCCACCAAGGCCAAACCAGGAAACCAGAAUCCAGAUGGAACUCCCACAGCUGCUAUUUAUCAGCCUUGUGAGCCAAUCACAGCUCAACAGACAGGUGCUGGCCAUGAAUAUUAACCUAUGGAACACCAUGAGGGACAAACUACCACCCACAGCCCUGUCUGCCACAUGAGGAUGUCAUCAAGAAGGGACAACAGUAGGGAAAGGGACUGAACCAAGUGAACAGCUUCCUCUCUUCAGCAGACACAUGUUCCGAGUACAAGUGUGUCAAAAGCUGCACAGACAUUCUCACCGUUCAGGCCGUUGAUUGGAACAAGCGGAAGCCAGAAAAGUUGGACCAGACAUUACCAAAAUGAUACUCCCAGAUUUUGGUGCCAUAAUAAAAAAAAAGGCUUUAUGAUGUCAUGCUGCUGACCAUACUGUGAUUGGUGAAGUCCAGCAGUGCUGGGGGUCCUUGAAAUGUUGUUUGAGAGCAUCUCCUCCCUGCUUCUGGAAGGCAGCACAGAGGCAUUAAUGGAGUGAGGACGUGAAGGACUAACUGUCUGCUGAGGAGGAGAUCAUGUACAGUGCCAGCAAAAGUAUUUGGCCCCCUUGAACUUUGCAACCUUUUGC